CUCCGCUGAUCUGCAACAGAUGCAAACAUUUUGUUCUAGUUUCACCGAAUAGGGGAACAGUGGCCGCCAAGGAUAUCUUCACCGAGCCCUCUCGUGGCCACCAACAGGGCUUCCAGACCUGGUACCGGGUUUGAUCUCCAGAACUGGGAAAACAAAAGAGAAAUGAAUGCAGCUAUCAAGUUCGAGAAGGGUGGAGAUGCGUAUCUGUCAUCGGUAAGGUGUCUUUCAAUUAAUAGGUAAUAUCGAAAUGAAUUGACAUUGGAAUAUC
rnacentral:lncRNA from 1 species